rnacentral:tRNA from 4 species
CGGGAUGUGGCUCAGCUUGGCUAGAGCGCAGCGUUCGGGACGCUGAGGCCGGAGGUUCGAAUCCUCUCAUCCCGACCA